CUGCUCCCGCGUGCUUGCUGGGCCUUGGGUCCCCGCGGCGCCGGCCUAGCGCUUCCUGUCGCGGUCCCGGAGGGCAGGCGGACUUGCUGUCACCUCAGCCCGCCGCGCCCCCAGGAGGAGGUCGAGGGGACGCGGGAGAGGUGGGCGGGGAGGGGACUCUGGGGGCCGCCCCAAACGUCUCCUCCGCCUCUGGACGGAGGAGGGGCGGCGACCACAGGUGUCCCGAGGGGCGGGACAGUCAAGGGUCUCGGCCAGGACAGCGCACACGGGCAACACUGUGGCAGGCGAACAGCGUGACUCUGCAGAAACGGAAGGAAUGAAGUGGCAGCUGCUCACAGCCAGGAGCCGUGGAUGGCGCUGGGCUUUACGGAGAAACUGGAGGAAGAGGGGAAACGGUCGGGAGGUGCACAGUGAGGGGCGGGGCUCAUCCCAGGCCCAGGGUGCUGAGCCACCUUGGCUCUGUGCUCCUACGGGGAACAGGUGCAACCAGCACCACCUCUAAGCCACUGCCGUCUGUCCACCUCCACCUCCACCUAUCCACCUCCACCUGCCACCUGUCCACCUCCACCUACCACCUGUCACCUGUCCACCUGCCACCUGUCCACCUCCACCUGCCCACCUGUCCACCUGCCCUGCAAUCACCCUCCAGUAUGUAGCUGCUCCCUGUGCUUAGCGUCUCACGUGUGUCCAGUCUGCACAGCCACACUGGACGACCCACAGGGUCUGAAGGGUCGGGAUCUCAAGGGGCUGCAGGGCGAUGCUGCCGUGGGCUGAAUAGAAGGACUGAAGGAGCCACAGCUCGACACUGGAGUGAGAGAUGCCAGGCUUCGCCCGCCUGCCGGCCUCCGAGGAGCGCAGCAAGGUUGAGAGUUGAGAGGGAGGGAGGACAGCCCACUGCGGACAGAGCCGGGCAGCAGCAGCGGGCGGCACCCUAGCCUGGCUCUGUGUUGCCGUGGCGAAAACCACAGGCCCGGAGCUUGACAGAGGGGCUUGUACGGCUCCUGAUUCUUACGCAAACAACCCAGUGCUGGAACCUGGAGUGACCCAGAAGGGAGAGGCUGCCGGGAGGGCGCUGCGUCCACGGAGGGAGGGGCCUGCGGGCGGACGCUGGGCUGGCCCGGUUUCUGGUUUCUGUCUUGCUUUGCUCUGGGCGUGGAAUGAAGAGUCUUCACACCGAGCCCCAGCCCCAGCCCUCUCUCAAUUGCUCAAGUUAAAACAGGGUCUUGUUGAGUAUCCAAAUUGCCGGGAUGGAGUGAAUUGACCUUGCUGCCUCACUUCCGGGGUGUGCCCUGGCUCAGGCUCCUCUUCCGGUCAGGUCCGGGAUUCGCACCGACCCCACCCGACCACGUGGUGACAGCCACACUGGUGCGGGCCGCAGGCCUGGCCAGGGCCUCCCCUGGCAGGAAGGCGAUGGGCCCAGAGCCCUGGCCUCUCCUCCCCGCCCACCCUCGCCCCCUCUCUCAGCCAUGAGCAGGCACAGGGCCAGCUGCUCAGGUUUGCAAGGGAACCAGAGAAACUGGUUCUCGCCCUCAGGACUUCCUCAAGAGACCAAAAAGUUUGGAGCCCAGUGCUUGACUCCAUCCACAAGUUCUCUUCACCACCAGAAGCACCAACCGCCCCUCACUCUCAGAUGACCCAAAGCCCUUCUCUGGGACCAGGGUGCCCACAGGAGGAGGAGGAACCCCCACUCUGAGGGCGGCUGGGAGAGGAGCAGAGCACAGUGGCAGCUUGUCCUGCGGCCAGGGAGGAGGCUGACAGCAGGUGGCUGGUUACGCCUAUG
ensembl:lncRNA